CACAAAGAAAUCAGCAUGCGAAUGUCACCCGUACAUGAAUUUCAGAUGAAGUCUACGUUUGUCACUGCAGACUUUAGAGAUUUGCCGUUAUACAUUUUGAGAGAAUGAAGAUGUCCCACUCUUCAUCCCACCCAGCCAAACUUCAGAAUGGCAGAUGUCACCAUCACUGACAAAGAGGCAUCAAAAUAAACAUCUCCUUCAUCAUGGAAGAGAAUGUGGGGUGCUCUAAUAAUUCUGGAAGACAGUGUUCCUUGUUAUUUAUUCAAUAAACAGAGGCAUCAAUAGAUAGGUAAAGAAGAAGCAGGACCUGGGACAAGGAAGCUGAGAUUGGAAGCCUUACCUGUCAAUCACUGAUCCUUGCAUAACCUAUGUUGGUUCUUCUCAUAGGUACAGAAAUCAAGUGAGACGU